rnacentral:rRNA from 1 species
AUAGCGUAUAUUAAAGUUGUUGCAGUUAAAAAGCUCGUAGUUGAACUUCAGACCUGGCCGGGUGGUCUGCCUCACGGUAUGUACUGUCUGGCUGGGUCUUACCUCUUGGUGAGCCGGCAUGCCCUUUACUGGGUGUGUCGGGGAACCAGGACUUUUACCUUGAGAAAAUUAGAGUGUUCAAAGCAGGCUUAUGCCUGAAUACAUUAGCAUGGAAUAAUAAAAUAGGACGUGCGGUUCUAUUUUGUUGGUUUCUAGAGUCGCCGUAAUGAUUAAUAGGGAUAGUUGGGGGCAUUAGUAUUCCAUUGCUAGAGGUGAAAUUCUUGGAUUUAUGGAAGACUAACUUCUG